rnacentral:sRNA from 1 species
AUUGCCAAAAUGCUUUGGAGUUUUUAACUGAAUCUAAGAAAAGUCCAAAAUAGAUCUGAGACUGUAAAAACAGAAACUGCAGCAAGGGGGAUUCAGUGCCAAUGCAUCAACAAAAAAGACAACCAGAGUUAGUGGAAGGAAAUCUUCCUGUUUUCGUGUUCCCCACGGAGCUCAUAUUUUAUGCAGAUGAUCAGUCAACACAUAAGCAAGUGUUGACACUGUACAAUCCCUAUGAGUUUGCCUUAAAGUUCAAAGUGUGAUUCGUCAUCGAGAUGUUCGAUCGUGUCACUAUGGUGUAAUAGACAAAUUCCGUCUCCAAGUUUCUGAGCAAAGCCAAAGGAAGGCUUUGGGAAGAAAAGAGGUUGUUGCUACUCUUCUCCCAUCAGCAAAAGAACAACAAAAGGAAGAAGAGGAAAAAAGAAUAAAGGAACAUUUAACUGAAAGUUUAUUUUUUGAGCAGUCGUUUCAACCAGGUCUUAUCACAAUGGCCAUACUUAGAACAUGAGCAAGGAUUUCAAUUGACUUCUGAAGUAAAUCUGUCUUGAAAAUAUGAAUGUGGACUGCCUUUUAUCUCUAUUUCACUCCAUUAACAUGCAGCAAACUAUUGAAUGAUUUCAAAUAAUUGCAAAUGUAUAAUAUAUAUUUUAAA